AAAGAAACCAACCGGGAUUGCCUCAGUAACGGCGAGUGAAGCGGCAAGAGCUCAAAUUUGAAAUCUGGCCCCUCCGGGGUCCGAGUUGUAAUUUGCAGAGGAUGCUUCGGGUGCAGCCCCCAUCUAAGUUCCCUGGAACGGGACGUCAUAGAGGGUGAGAAUCCCGUAUGGGAUGGGGUGUCUGCGUCCGUGUGAAGCUCCUUCGACGAGUCGAGUUGUUUGGGAAUGCAGCUCUAAAUGGGUGGUAAAUUUCAUCUAAAGCUAAAUAUUGGCCGGAGACCGAUAGCGCACAAGUAGAGUGAUCGAAAGAUGAAAAGCACUUUGAAAAGAGAGUUAAACAGCACGUGAAAUUGUUGAAAGGGAAGCGCUUGCGACCAGACUCGCCUACGGGGUUCAGCCGGCUUUCGGGCCGGUGUACUUCCCCGUGGGCGGGCCAGCGUCGGUUUGGGCGGCCGGUCAAAGGCCCCGGGAAUGUAACGCCCUCCGGGGCGUCUUAUAGCCCGGGGUGCAAUGCGGCCUGCCUGGACCGAGGAACGCGCUUCGGCACGGACGCUGGCAUAAUGGUCGUAAGCGAC
rnacentral:rRNA from 1 species